rnacentral:rRNA from 1 species
UACGUAGGGGUCAAGCGUUGUCCGGAUUUAUUGGGCGUAAAGAGCGUGUAGGCGGCUUUACAGGUCCGUUGUGAAAACUCGAGGCUCAACCUCGAGACGCCGGUGGAAACCGUAAAGCUAGAGUCCGGAAGAGGAGAGUGGAAUUCCUGGUGUAGCGGUGAAAUGCGCAGAUAUCAGGAGGAACACCCGUGGCGAAAGCGGCUCUCUGGGACGGUACUGACGCUGAGACGCGAAAGCGUGGGGAGCAAACAGG